rnacentral:lncRNA from 1 species
AAAAAUAUAUAUUUUUAUCUACUAAUAUGUUGGGUAGAACAUGGGUAGAUAGUUGUGUGAUAAACAAAUGAGAGGCCUCGAUGUUGUUUUUGAUUCAGUCAUCUAGCGGAGUUUAGAUGAUGACCACAGACUUUUCUAGACAGUCCUGUGGAACGCUAGCAGGUUCGCCACCUGUAGGUAUUAAUGAACUUGGGUGUUCAUUCACUGUACUCCAUCCCCCUCAUGGUUGCCUUAUUUGACUUAUAUUGCCGAGGAACCCCCGAAGCAUGUGUUGUCGCCCCGAUGAAAUAUUCUUAGACUAGGUCCCUUGUGUUAGUUGUUUUAGGGACAUAAAGUGAGAAUAACGGGAAUGGGUAAUUGGGUUAUUGUUGGUUAAUGAAAAUAAAGUUAAUUACUUAUUGUGGGUUGAAAACCCUAUAUGCUCACCAGGCUCCCAAGCCUGACCCACUCAGUUUNNNNNNNNNNNNNNNNNNNNNNNNNNNNNNNNNNNNNNNNNNNNNNNNNNNNNNNNNNNNNNNNNNNNNNNNAAAAUACAUUUCUUUUAUGAAAUGCUUUGGUAAACAUUGUUUUAUCAUACUUUGUUUUUGGGAACAAAUUCCGCAACUCUUUCAAAUCAAAAGGAUUUACUCUGAAAUUAUUUUAAAAGCAUAAAUGAAAAUCGGUCUUUUCUGGCCGAGAUUUUGGGGAUGUCACAGUUGGUAUCAGAGCAUUAGUUUAAGCGAACUAGGAAUUUGUAGGAUUUCUAGACUUAAACUUAGAAUGCUAAGUGGAAUUUUGAGAUGUGUGUUUGUUAUAUUUUAGACACGAGCACUAGUUUAUUUUAGGAGAAUUGCCUAAAAUGCUUUUAUGUGUUAAAUGUUAUAUGUUUUCCAUAUAUGAUAUUAUUUGUUCGGAUCUAUGGUCUGUUGCCGACUGGAUUUGGAAUCCUUAUGUGUGUAGGAUUUUAAGCGUACAUCUACGAUAUUAGAACUAGCAGGUAAACGUUUCGGAGUGAAAAGGAUGAUUUGAACGUCUAUCGGAAUGAGGAUCUAAUUUAACCUUAUUCGGUGUAUAGAUAAAAAAAAUGGUGAGAACAAGAAGUGGAGUUGGAAAUGCUGAUGAAAACAGGAAUCAACCACUAGUGAUUGAGCAAAUACCUAUCGUAGCAGCAGCACCUGAGCCGAGAACGAUGGCUGGUGUACAAAUAAUGAUUCAAACAAUGUAGGAUCGUCAAAUGGAGGAGACUAGGCGGUUGCUUCAACAUAAUCGUGAAGAACUGUCAAUUCAUGUGGAAGAGCCCGAAUUAAAUAAAGGGCACUCUGUAGGUGGAAACUUCAGUGGGUCUGUUGGUCAAGCCAACCCACCGAUAGUUAGGCAAAACAAUCAGGAUGGAAGGAAUGAUGGAAUGGGAUGCAAGUACAAGGACUUUCUAACUUGCAAACCAUCGACCUUCAAUGGAAAGGAGGAUCCGAUUGGAGUUAUGGAUUGGAUCUCGGAGAUGGAAUUGGCCUUUAUGACUUGUGGCUGCAUAGGCAAGUUGCAGACCACGUUCGCAGUGCGUCAGUUCCGAGGUGGAGCCGUUCGUUGGUGGAACACUCUAGGGAAGACUUUAAGCCCUAAUGAGCCACAACAAUUGUAAUGGGUAGAGUUCUUGGCGCAGUUCAAGCGCAAGUUCUGCUCGGCUCAAAAUCUGUUGGAAUUGGAGAAUAAGUUUCUGACAUUGACGAAAGGCAGCAUGUUAGUUGAUGAAUACACUAAUAACUUUACAGACAAGAUGGAAUUUGCUUUGUGCGUCGUUCCAAAUGAGCUGACAAAGGUUGACUGGUACGCUAAGGGACUCUCAUGGGAGUAUGCAGUGCCAGUUCGUCAGGCACCUACUCUCGAGGCAGCUAUUUGGGCUGCCAAGUCUGUUGAGGACAUGAUCAAGGGAAGAUCCGCCAGCAAGGUUGAAGUUGGCAAGAAGAGAAAGUUUGAAGGAACUUCAGGUUCCAAUAAGAAAAGCAAAUUUUCGAAGUCUGAUUCGAAAAAGUUUGGAGGAAAAGGAGGCGAAGAGAAAUGGUGUGAGAAGUGAAAGAAAAAGCACUUUGGGAAAUGUAGUGAGGAUGUAACCUCCUACAAGUGUGGAAAAAUUGGGCAUUUUGCCAAUGAGUGUCUGUCCAACAAAAGGAUGUGCUUUGGUUGUAACGAGGAAGGGCACAUUUUAAAAGACUGUCCGAAGAAGAAGGAGGCAGCUAAGCCCAACAUUCCACCAAAGCCGAAGGCGAGAGCCUUUCAGAUGACACUUGAGGCUACGAAAGAUGAAGCUGAUGUCGCUUCAGGUACCUUUCGCGCAAACGAAUUACCUGCUCAAAUUUUGUUUGAUUCUGGAGCCAACUACUCCUUUAUUUCGCAUGAGUUUGGUAGAAAACUAGCUUUGCCUAUUGAUAGACUAGAUAAUGCUUUAUUAGUCGAAGUUGCUAGUGGCAAGUUUGUACCUGUUAGCCAUCGUAUGAAAAACAUCUUAAUCGACCUUAAUGGGAAUAAGUUUCACGAGGAAUUAUUGCCUAUCUAACUAAAUGGUUUCGACAUCGUUCUGGGAAUGGAUUGGCUUAGCGCCAAUGAUGCCGAAAUAUUAUGCAAGAAGAAGAUAGUUAAAGUAAACCCGCCUGGGAAAGAUUCGUUUAUGGUGUAUGGGGACAAACGCAGAGUGAAUUCUGGAAUCAUUUCUCUAAUGAAAGCCAGAAAGUGUUUGACCAAGGGAUGUACAUCAUAUUUAGCAUUCGUGAUUGAUGCUAAGAAGGAAAAGAAGGUGAUGCAGAGUAUUCCAGUGGUGUGUGAUUAUCCGGAAGUAUUUCCCGAAGAUCUUCCUGGAUUACCACCUGAUAGACAAGUGGAGUUCAGAAUAGACUUGUUACCAGCAACCACGCCAAUAGCAAAAGCACCUUAUCGAUUAGCACCGACGGAGAUGAAGGAGCUGAUGAUGCAACUUCAGGAGUUAUUGGACAAAGGUUUCAUUAGACCUAGUUCAUCGCCCUGGGGAGCUCCGGUGUUAUUUGUAAAGAAGAAAGAUGGAAGUAUGAGAAUGUGCAUCGAUUACAGAGAGCUGAACAAGGCAACAAUAAAGAAUAGAUAUCCGUUGCCAAGGAUUGAUGACCUGUUUGAUCAAUUGCAAGGUUCGAGCUAUUUCUCGAAGAUCGAUCUAAGGUCAGGAUAUCAUCAGCUAAAAGUGAGAGAGCGAGAUAUCGAGAAGACUGCGUUCAGAACUAGAUAUGGACACUACGAGUUCUUGGUUAUGUCGUUUGGACUAACCAAUGCUCCAGCAUCAUUCAUGGAUUUAAUGAACAGGGUUUGUAAUCCAUUCCUUGAUAAAUCUGUGAUAGUGUUCAUAGACGACAUUCUGAUUUACUCGAAAAGCCAAGAGGAGCAUGGAAGACACUUGCGAGAAGUGUUAAAAGUCUUGAAGAAGGAGAAGUUGUAUUCAAAGUUCUCCAAAUGUGAUUUUUGGAUUCGUGAAGUCCAAUUCUUGGGUCACGUGGUCAACCAGGAAGAGAUAAUGGUUGAUCCAGCAAAGAUUGAAGCUGUGAUGAAGUGGGAACAACCGAAAAGUCCCACGGAGAUCCGAAGCUUUUUAGGAUUAGCCGGAUAUUACCGAAGGUUUAUCCAAUGCUUUUCUUCGAUUGCUACUCCAUUAACAGCUUUGACCCACCAAGGAGCUACUUAUGCUUGAAGUGAUAAGCAUAAAGAAGCAUUCGAGAAGCUAAAGAAGAAACUAUGCGAGGCACCGAUACUUUCUCUACCCGAUGGAGUUGAAGACUUCGUUGUUUAUAGCGAUGCAUCUGGGGUUGGAUUGGGUUGUGUUUUGACCAAAAGAGAAAAGGUGAUAGCAUAUGCGUCUCGACAGUUGAAGGAGCAUGAAAAGAACUACCCUACUCACAAUUUGGAGUUGGUAGCCGUAGUUUUCGCUCUGAAAAUAUGUUGGCAUUACCUCUAUGGCACAAAGUGCAAACUUUUCACUGAUAAUAAGAGUCUCCAAUAUCUCUUUAAUCAGAAAGAGUUAAAUAUGAGGCAACGACGCAAGCUAGAGUUACUUAAGGACUACGAGUGUGAGAUACUUUACCACCCUGGUAAAGCUAAUGUUGUUGUUGAUGCUCUCAAUCGGAAAGUCAAUCUUGAAAGGAAGAGGCAAAGAGCGUUGAGAAUUGAAGUUGUCUCGACAAUUGUGGAGAGUAUAAAGAAAGCUCAAGAAGAAGCUUCUGAGAAAAAUAACCGAAAGGAGGAACGUUUGGGAAAAAUGUUGGUGUUUGGUACAAACGGUCAUGGACUGAAGGUAUUCCAAGAUCGUAUUUGUGUACCUAAGGCAGGAGGAAUAAUAGAUCUUCUGAUGGAAUAAGCUCACAAAACCAUGCACUCGAUUCAUCCCGGUAGCACUAAAAUGUAUAAGGACCUGAAACCCUACUACUGGUGGCCAACGAUGAAGCUUGAUGUUGUAAAGUAUGUGGCCGAGUGUGUGACUUGUGCGAGAGUCAAGACACAACAUCAGAAACCAUAUGGGAGUUUAGAACCUUUACCUGUGCCUAUGGGUAAAUCGGAAGACAUUGCGAUGGAUUUUUUCACUAAACUACCCAGAACAAAAAGUGGUCACGACAUGAUUUGGGUGGUCGUUGAUCGAUUCACUAAGAGUGCGCAUUUCAUAGCAGCCAAUGAGAAAUGGUCUAUGGAAAGGCUUGCGAAUUCUUACAUGAAGGAAAUUGUGAGGCUUGACGGUGUUCCGUUAAUGAUUGUAUCGAAUCGUGAUAGUCGUUUCACCUUAAGAUUUUAGAAAAGUCUACAAGAGGAAAUGGGUACCAAGUUGUGUUUAAGUAUAGCUUACCAUCCACAGACUGAUGGUCAGAGUGAAAGAACGAUACAAACACUUGAAGAUAUGCUAAGAGCAUGUACCCUAGAAUUCCUAGGUAAUUGGGAUGAGCAUUUACCUUUGGUAGAAUUUUCCUACAAUAAUAGUUUCCACUCGAGCAUAAAGAUGGCACAUUAUCAAACUUUGUACGGACAGAAGUGUCGUACGCCGUCUUGUUGGCUUGAGGCUGUAGAAAAGCAGUUUAUGGGACUCGAGAUGGUCCAUCAGACUGUUGAGAAGUUGAAAGUGAUCAGGGAAAGAAUGUUAGCAGCUCAAGAUCGUCAAAAGAGCUAUGCUGACAAGAAGCGAAGACCGAUGAAUUUUGAAGUUGGGGAUUCGAUUUUACUUAAAGUCUCACCGUGGAAGGGACUUAUAAGAUUUGGUAAAAGGGGAAAGUUGAGUCCAAGGUUUCUUGGACCGUUUAAAGUUCUUCAGAGGAUUGGGAACCAAGCUUACAAGCUAGAACUACUAGAAGAACUGAGUGGUAUUCAUAACACUUUCCAUGUGUGUUAUUUGAGAAAGUUCACGGGAGAAGUUCCUGACAUAAUUCCAAUUUCUGAAUUGAGAAUUGAUGAAAACAAGAGGUUAGUUGAAGAACCAUAGACAAUUGUUGACCGAAAGACUAAGAAGCUUCGACGCAAGAUGGUCGAAUUAGUGCUUGUCCGUUGGAAACAUACAAAUGGGCCAAAUCUCACUUUGGAAACGGAGAGUGACAUGUUGAGUCGGUAUCCGCAUUUGUUUGUUGAGGUGUGAUUCCAGGGACUGAAUCAUCCUAAGGGGAGAGAAUUGUAACGCCCGUGUUUCCAGGCUAGGCAUUAUCAUUGAUGUAAUAGUCUAGGUUAACCCUUGUAACUCUUUUUGAAGUAUUAAUGAUAAAAUAUUUGAGUAUUAUGUGAAUUAUGUGUUUAUUUUCUUAAUUAUUAUAAUUUAAUGAAUUAAGAAUAAAAUAAGCGUCAAAUUUGAAGUGUGGGAUAAGCCCGAUAUCUUUGCAUAAAGAUGUAGUGGUCAAAAAGAGGAUUUCGAAGAUAUAAAGAAUGCCGAAAUCCAAGUUAUAACGAAGAAGUUAUGACCUGUCGAAGUUUCGCGAUAGAACCGACAAUGCUGAAUAACGUAAAAAGUGAAAUUUACGUUAGAGCGAUAUUUAGCCUUAGUGAUCUAAACGAAAGUCAUAGAGUUCGUUAAACCGAGAGCAUGCAUAAAAAGAACGCCCAAAUCUGACUUCGUAUGAGGAAGUUAUGGUUUUUCGAAGUUUCGACUUAGCAGUAUGCAGCCCGAAUACUCGAUUUGAGAUCGAGCGGUUUUUAGCCAAAACAAUCUAAACGAGAAUUGAAGAUCUCAUUAAUUGUAGCGAAACGAUGAAAAGAUAGGCGAAAACGGACAUCGGAUGAAGAAGUUAUGAUUUUAUAACGGAGUUUUCCUAUCCCGGCAUACUAAAAAUAAAUAAUAAAAAUAAAGUCAAAAUUAGCCGACGAAGUCUAAACGAAAGUUGUAGAGUGUAGUCUCACCUACGCGUGGAAAUAAAGAACGUCGAAAACGGAGUUCGUAUGAGAAAGAUAUAAAUUUUUGAAGUUUAUUAAAUAUUUUCGAUAUUUAAUUUAAAUAUAAAAUAACCGAUAUUAUCCAUGGGGGGAGUUAGCGAGCUGAUCCUCGUUACGCCCAGCGUAGAUCGAAGUUCCAUCCCCCUAUAAAAGGAUGUCGAGGGCAGCCGAGUUCUUUGCUCAUUUCUUCCCUUUCUCUCGCGUUUUUGCAUCGUUUUUCGUGCAAGAAUUAUGCCGAAGCCCUGAUAUCAUUCCCGAGCCCCAAAGUAAGUCUCGAAGCCCCGAAGAUCCCGAGAAGUGCAAUUCCCGAGCUGAAGCUCUGCCCGCGAGGAGUCCGGUUUUUGGGAAGAUCUUACAGAUCUGCCGAAGAAUACUACUUCUACAAGUCGUAGUGCUGUCCGAUCAUCUUCUGAUCAAGUGAGUGUGUAGUUACUUUCUUCUAACGCAUAAUUAUGAAGUAUUUUAUACGAAAUACGUGUUAUGUGUAUAUUUUGUUGUUAUAUGUGUGAAUGUAUAUUCACUUUCUUCUAUCUCAUAGAUAUGAUUUAUUCUCUAUGAAAUACGUGUUAUGUGUAUGUGUCUCAUUUGUUGUUUGGAAUAUGUAUUGAAUGAGAAUGCUAUACAGGAUUUAAACUAUGUAUAAAAAUAUAUAUUUUUAUCUACUAAUAUGUCGGAUAGAACAUGGGUAGAUAGUUGUGUGAUAAACAAAUGAGAGGCCUCGAUGUUGUUUUUGAUUCAGUCAUCUAGCGGAGUUUAGAUGAUGACCACAGACUUUUCUAGACAGUCCUGUGGAACGCUAGCAGGUUCGCCACCUGUAGGUAUUAAUGAACUUGGGUGUUCAUUCACUGUACUCCAUCCCCCUCAUGGUUGCCUUAUUUGACUUAUAUUGUCGAGGAAUCCCCGAAGCAUGUGUUGUCGCCCCGAUGAAAUAUUCUUAGACUAGGUCCCUUGUGUUAGUUGUUUUAGGGACAUAAAGUGAGAAUAACGGGAAUGGGUAACUGGGUUAUUGUUGGUUAAUGAAAAUAAAGUUAAUUACUUAUUGUGGGUUGAAAACCCUAUAUGCUCACCAGGCUCCCAAGCCUGACCCACUCAGUUUAUUUGUAUUACAGGAAGUGGCACAAGGGCAUAAGAUGGAUGAAUCAUCAAGUUGUUUUUUUUACAAGGUUGUAUAUGUAUAUAUUUGUUGAACGACUUGUAAUGUUAUCGUUUAUGCUUUAUGGUCUGUAUCGGAACAUGACAUCCCGAGUUUUGAUUAUAUAAUGAAAAUACAUUUCUUGAUGAAAUGCUUUGGUAAAUAUUAUUUUAUCAUACUUUGUUUUUGGGAACAAAUUCCGCAACUCUUUCAAAUCAAAAGGAUUUGCUCUG